UGCUAAGCGACGUGAGCCAGACAAGCCCGAUCUCAUCUGAUCUCAGAAGCUCAGCAGGGUUGGACCUGGUUAGUACUUGGAUGGGAGACCACUAAGAAGACCAGGUGCUAUAGGUG
rnacentral:rRNA from 1 species